rnacentral:rRNA from 1 species
AUUGAACGCUGGCGGCAUGCCUUACACAUGCAAGUCGAACGGUAACAGGUCUUCGGAUGCUGACGAGUGGCGAACGGGUGAGUAAUACAUCGGAACGUGCCUAGUAGUGGGGGAUAACUACUCGAAAGAGUGGCUAAUACCGCAUGAGAUCUACGGAUGAAAGCAGGGGAUCGCAAGACCUUGUGCUACUAGAGCGGCCGAUGGCAGAUUAGGUAGUUGGUGGGAUAAAAGCUUACCAAGCCGACGAUCUGUAGCUGGUCUGAGAGGACGAUCAGCCACAUUGGGACUGAGACACGGCCCAGACUCCUAAGGGAGGCAGCAGUGGGGAAUUUUGGACAAUGGGGGAAAGCCUGAUCCAGCAAUGCCGCGUGCAGGAUGAAGGCCUUCGGGUUGUAAACUGCUUUUGUACGGAACGAAAAGCUUCGGGUUAAUACCCUGGAGUCAUGACGGUACCGUAAGAAUAAGCACCGGCUAACUACGUGCCAGCAGCCGCCGUAAGAC